rnacentral:lncRNA from 1 species
GAAAGCUGAAGGACUGGUGAUCAUUGUAGAACACUUUUGGACUUUUAAUUUUAAAUAUUAAAAAAACUGCACCAAAUUUUAAAAAGAGGGUACAUUUUGUCUGUUUGUCAGAUCUGAAGUACCUGUUUGGUACAUCCGAAGUUCCGGGAACCAGUUUGUUCUUAUAUGCCAUUAAAGGUAUGUUGAUUUUUUCAGUACAAGACACCAUAAAGUGUUGC